GUCUGUCUUUUAUCUAAAUAUACAUGCAAACGUAAUUAGAAAUAGUUAAAUAUAUUACUUGAUUAACAUUAUGCAUGAUUCGCCUGAUGGCGUACUAAAUAAUUAUCAUUGUACGUUUGAUAACUAUUUAAACCACUCGGUCGAUGCCACUGCCGGUGGACGUUUCGUCCCCGAUGGUAUCACCAGCCCAGUUGUCAACAUUUCGGUGUUUACAUGAAUAUCAAUAAUGUGGUUAUUUUUAUAAAUUUCCUGUUUACAAAACUUUGAAUUUUUCGAAAAACUCAGGAUUUUCUUAUUCCAGGAAUAGAUUACCUUAGCCGUAAUUGGCACAACUUUUUUGAAUUUUGGAUCCUCAAUGCUUUUCAACUUUGUACUUGUUUGGCUUUAUAAAUAUGUCGAUAUGAGCGCCACUGUUGAGUCUUAUGUAGACGAAACGCGCGUUUGGCGUACUAACUUAUAACCCUGGUACCUUUGAUAACUUAUGUUAUAUCUAUUUACAGCUAAAAUCCUUAUUU
rnacentral:lncRNA from 1 species